AUUUUGCUGGGACAUCGAUAAUUGAUUGAAGAUUGCUUCCCUGUAUUGCCUUCUACAAUCAGUUUCUUUCUUCCAUGCUGGAACUGGUCACAUUUUAUUGGCAAAUUUUAUUUGAUUAUAGAAAAAAAACCACCUUAAUUUUUAAGAGCACCUAAAUAUGCUGACAUUCAAGACAAAGGAAUAUUAAUACCAUUGUUUUUCUGCGCUUUACGAGUAGCAGUGGUAUUGCAAUGAAUUCUGCUGUAGCAAGCUGCUGUAAUAAGGGUCAGAUGGUCACAUGCAUGAUUCAUUGAUCAUAUGGACUAAUUCUACUGAAUAAUAGCUGGAAGAAAAUGGGAUUCAACUAUAGGAAGAAAAAGAUUUCAUGCAAGGUUUGGUUAAUAUGAAGAAUUGCACCUGAUAAGAAGAAUAAGGAAAAUUAACGUGAGAAAGACAGGGUACUUCAGAAUCUAUCUAUGGAAAACUGGAGUAAGAAAAUUCACUGAAUAACUGUCACAUUAAUGCUGCUACUGACAACAGAAAUUACAAUUUUCAUAACAUUUGAUUUUUUUUGGUGUUGCAGUACAUCAGAUUUAAUCUAAAACGUGUAAAUCAAUGUCUUCUGAGAACAUCUACCAACAGAAAAGAUCUAUUUAUCAUAUGAUAAUUCAGGCAACAGUAUUAAUUAUUUUUCUUAUCAGAGUCUCUCAAAGGUGAUCUGCAGCUUGCUUGGAAGGUAGGGCCAAAAUGGGAUGUGAUAUUUCAGAUGAACUUGUAUAAUAAUUAAGAAAAAAUAAAGAAGAAUACAUUG
rnacentral:lncRNA from 1 species